rnacentral:rRNA from 1 species
CCUACGGGUGGCAGCAGUGGGGAAUAUUGCACAAUGGGGGGAACCCUGAUGCAGCGACGCCGCGUGAGUGAAGAAGUAUUUCGGUAUGUAAAGCUCUGUCAGCAGGGAAGAAGAAAGACGGUACCGGACCAAGAAGCCCCGGCUAAAUACGUGCCAGCAGCCGCGGUAAUACGUAGGGGGCAAGCGUUAUCCGGAUGCACUGGGGGUAAAGGGAGCGUAGACGGCCAUGCAAGCCAGGGGUGAAAGCCCGGGGCUCAACGCCGGGACUGCCCUUGGAACUGGGCGGCUAGAGUGCGGGAGGGGCAGGCGGAAUUCCUGGUGUAGCGGUGAAAUGCGUAGAUAUCAGGAGGAACACCGGCGGCGAAGGCGGCCUGCUGGACCGCGACUGACGUUGAGGCUCGAAAGCGUGGGGAGCGAACAGGAUUAGAUACCCUUGUAGUC